UUAGAUAGCUAAAACUUUCUCCAGCAAUGGUCUCUUAAACCAUAUAUAGUAGAAAUUAACUAACUUUCUCUUUAAA
rnacentral:tRNA from 1 species